UGGUCUAGGUAUGGCGGCCAGCUCAUUGAAGGGAUGAGCCCGAAAUAAAUGAUGUUUCGAGACCGAUCCAGAUAGCCGGCCCUCCCUCCUUCUGUUACCUUCUUCCUCGCGUGCGGCUGCCGGAAAGAUUCUCCAAGGGCGCCACCAUGAAGAGACGAUUUGUGGAGGCAUGGAUUUUCCGUUGGAUCAGGUCAGCAGUACGACUAUCUAUGCGCCGUAUCCAGCUGAGGCAGCAAUGCUGAGUUUGCAAGGAGAGGACUCGGUAAGCAGCGACGCUUGUCCGGCGGCGGCGGGUGUGUCGAUGCUUGGGAACCUUGUGAGUUGUGACCGGGACUGGUAUGUACGAUGGAGCUGACGGCAUGGCUGGCCUGGGGGAGCUGGUACCCGCUGAUUCCGCGGAAUCUACUGGGCACGACUAUCCACAAUCGCCCGGAUGGAGGAAGAGAAUCUGUGUCGGCCGUGCACCUCCAUAUAGAACUUAUUGUGCGGACCGGCAAAGCGCACUGGAGAAAUCGGUCCGGUGUUACACAGAGAUAUUGGGAGACGAAGUCAUUGACACCUGCCUUGGUACAACUUUUGACUCGCUAAGUGAGGCAUACGAUUUCUGUAAUCUGUAUUCCUGGGAACAUGGGUCUGGGAUCAGAUAUGGAAAGAGACGGUUAAAUUCAGAGAACACGAAAUGCAUGCAAGAAAUCGCCUGCGGGUACUCGGGGAAGCCCACAUCUGAAAAUACAACAUCUUGUCGCCGUGAAUGCACUGCGAUGAUCCAGAUGUUGUGCGUUGACUGAGACAUGCGGUGAGACAGCAUUCUAGCCGUCACGCAGGCACGUAGAUAUGUUCACUAAAGACUUGGCAAAACAGCUUAGGGAUAACAAGAUAGAUAUGUUCACCAAGGACUUGGUAAAACAUGUAAUGGUUGGUACAUUACAUGGGUUGUCACAUUUUGAAAAAAACAUAGGUUGUCAGCAUUAUUGGACUCUUCUUUGGAAGUGUUGACAGCCGCCCUUUCGCAAAGUGGUCUCUGCGGAAUUUGUGUGGACAGAUUAGCCGAAUUUGUGUGGACAGAUUAACCAAGAAGAAGCCGACGAUGAUGUAAGAAAAACAAUUGAAGUUUUUUAUCAGGUAGGUGCGAAGGACCCAGAUUUCUUGUUUAGAGUCCAGGCUGAUUCAGAUACCACGAUCAGGAACCUCAUGUGGACAAUAGGAGCAGGCCGGCUGCAGUAUAAAUAUUUUGGUGAUGUAAAAGCCUUUGACAUGACAUACAAAACAAACUUGUAUGACAUGCCAUCUGGUCUAUUCGUGGGGGUUAAUAACCACAUUCACAGCGUAAUUUUAGCUGGGUUCAUGGUCCGGGAUGUCAAGUAGAGAGCUCCGAGUGUGUGUUUACAGAAUUCGUGCGCAUGAUCGGAGGUGUUCAUCCUCAAACCACACUCACAGAUCAAUGUCGAGCAAUGGAGGUCGCGAUAAAGAAAGUUUUGCCGAACAUAACCCACCGUUGUUGUAAAUGGCAUGUAUUGAAGAAGGCGAAGGAGUCCCUAGGCCCAUUGUUCACGAGAUGUCAUAUGUUUUGAGCAGAGUUCCACAAAGUUGUAAAUCACAUGUUGACGUCGAUGAGUUUGAGGAGGCAUGGGAUUUACUUCUGGACAAGUAUUGGCUGAGGGCACAUGGUUAUAUGACGCACUUAUAUAAGAUCAGAGAGAAAUGGGCUAAGCCUUAUUUUAAGGGAUUUUUUGUGCAAAAAUGUCAAGCUCACAAAGAAGUGAGAGUGCAAACAGUACAUGAGAUUGCUGUAUGACAAUACAUGAGGUUGUUGUAUGAUCAGGAAGUAGAUGAGAGCUACGAAGAGAAGUGAACCAAAGUUGUAAGUAUCUUUUUAUUUGUGCAAUUGACUGAACUAGUGAUGCAUAGGAUGUAGCGAGAUGUUAUAACUUUUCUGGUCAGAACGGGGUUGUUGUCGAUAUAAUUUUACAAUUGAAAGACAUGCUAGUAAGAUAUACACGAGAGCAAUGUUUGAGAAAUUUGGGAAGAUGAUCUUCCAAGCAUGUGCAUACAAGGUAGAGGAGGUAAGAGAAAAACAAGCUUUACAUGACCACACACACAGGCGCCUCGCGGCGGGAGAAGUGGAGCACAGUUGUCUUUGAUGUGAAGAUGCUAGUUGAUGGGGAGGAGUUCGAAUGCGAGUGCGGAAUGUUUGCACACAUGGGAAUGCACACAAUUGUGGGCAUGCAUUGAAGGUGAUGGACUAUGUUGGAGUAAGGGAGAUACCUAAUAAACAUAUUCUGAGAUGGACAAGGGAUGCCAGGGAUGUGCUUCCGGAGAAUCUGCGGCACUACCAGCUUGACCAGGCUGCAGGGCUGUUCAAGGAAAACCUUGCUGUGAUGGCUCCAUUUGAGGAAACCAGGGAUGACCUUGGCUCGUAGGACAGACCGGCCAGUGGUGCUAAAGAUGGUGACGAAAGAAUGAUGACUGCUCAGGGGAGAACGGUGGGUCACUCUCUGGGCAUGCCAUGGCUGGAUUAAUAGCUCCAAGUAAGAAACAAAAGACAGGGAGGCCAACUUCUAGCCGUGACAGAGCUCCUUACGGGGGUUGUAGCAAGAUAACUAGAUUUUGCGGCAUCUGCAAGCGCCCUGGGUACAAGCGAACAACUUGCACAGACAGGGGUGAUGAGCCUAAGCAACCAAGGAAGUCAGGAAGGUGCAGUGUUUGUGGUGUAGGCCGUGUAGCUGGCCAUCGUAAGAGCAGCUGCGUAAAACCACUCCAGGUGUGACAAAAAGACGCAUGUUUAGCUGCAUGAUUAUGUAUAACUCGUAUAGUGUGUAGCAUUCCAUGGACUGUAAUUCUGAAGAAUUAUAAAUUAUCCAGUGUGUGAAUUGUCUAGGCAUUUGUCAAUGUGCCACACCAACAAGAAGCAGAGAAAUAUACUUCGAAUGUGAAA